GACGAACGCUGGCGGCGUGCUUAACACAUGCAAGUCGAACGGAAAGGCCCUGCUUGCAGGGUGCUCGAGUGGCGAACGGGUGAGUAACACGUGGGUGAUCUGCCCCUUAUUUUGGGAUAAGCCUGGGAAACUGGGUCUAAUACUGGAUAGGACCAUGCUGUAGGUGGUGUGGUGGAAAGAUUAGUUUCGGUAAGGGAUGAGCUCGCGGCCUAUCAGCUUGUUGGUGGGGUAAUGGCCUACCAAGGCGUCGACGGGUAGCCGGCCUGAGAGGGUGGACGGCCACAUUGGGACUGAGAUGCGGCCCAGACUCCUACGGGAGGCAGCAGUGGGGAAUAUUGCACAAUGGGCGCAAGCCUGAUGCAGCGACGCCGCGUGGGGGAUGACGGCCUUCGGGUUGUAAACUCCUUUCAGCCAUGACGAAGCCCUUGUGGUGACGGUAGUGGUAGAAGAAGCACCGGCUAACUACGUG
rnacentral:rRNA from 1 species